rnacentral:rRNA from 1 species
UACGUAGGCAGCGAGCGUUGUUCGGAGUUACUGGGCGUAAAGCGUGCGUAGGUGGUUUGUUAAGUCUGUUGUGAAAGCCCCGGGCUCAACCUGGGAAUGGCAAUGGAUACUGGCAAGCUAGAGUGCGGUAGAGGGUAGUGGAAUUCCCGGUGUAGCGGUGAAAUGCGUAGAGAUGUGGAGGAACACCAGUGGCGAAGGCGACUCUUUGGCCUGUAACUGACGCUGAGGCGCGAAAGCGUGGGGAGCAAACAGG